GGAUGUGAGGGCGAUCUGGCUGCGACAUCUGUCACCCCAUUGAUCGCCAGGGUUGAUUCGGCUGAUCUGGCUGGCUAGGCGGGUGUCCCCUUCCUCCCUCACCGCUCCAUGUGCGUCCCUCCAAAAAGUGUCAGUGAAUGUUGGGAUUAAUCCAAAAGUCAGUUCUCUCUCAAGCAGAGGUUGGCUGUAGAUGUAUAGAGAUUUCCUCUUCAGGAAAACUUUCAGGCGCUCCCAGCAAUGAAACUCACUUUGCCUUCCUGACUGCUCUUCUUCCUGGGCUGUUUGUUUCAUAGAGCUAUUGAUAAUGAGCUUUAAAUAGGGCCCAUUGCUGUGCCUGUAGAGUUAGGUCUGCUCCUUCUACUCCCAUGCAUUGCUUUGCAUUUAGUAACAUGCUUUUAAUU
rnacentral:snRNA from 1 species